CAGUUUCGGCAAAAACAAUAUAACUCUUCAGUUGGUCAACUAACCUACAGUUCUCCUCUCACGAAAUGCAUUCAACAAUACAGAAGUUGGAUUGUUUUAAAGAGUAAUUUAGCCAGGCGCAGUGGCUCACACC